UACGUAGGUGGCGAGCGUUGUCCGGAUUUAUUGGGCGUAAAGCGCGUGCAGGCGGUUCGUUAAGUCCGGUGUGAAAGCUCCCGGCUCAACUGGGAGAGGUCAUUGGAUACUGGCGGACUCGAGGGAGGCAGAGGAAGGUGGAAUUCCCGGAGUAGUGGUGAAAUGCGUAGAGAUCGGGAGGAACACCAGUGGCGAAGGCGGCCUUCUGGGCCUUUCCUGACGCUGAGACGCGAAAGCGUGGGGAGCGAACCGG
rnacentral:rRNA from 1 species